rnacentral:sRNA from 1 species
AAGUUUCUUCUUCUUGCUC